CAUCCUCUUCCCGUUCUUGGAGGAAUAGAAGGAAAAGGAAUUCGAGCGAAUUGAGAUGAGUAAAAACCUGAGUCUUGACUCCCCCUAUUAGGACUACUUCAGAAUUCCUGAACUGCCCAUCGGAUUUCCUCUCUCCCAUUGCUUUCCCGCUUCCCGUAAAACCCUUUACCUUCUAUAUAACUCUAUAUAUAAGGUACUGUAUCCACACGCGCAAGGGUCUUUCUUCAAUUCUAUAACCCCAUUAAUAUAAGGAAGAAAAAAUCGCGAAAGCUGCUUUCUUUCUGUCUUUUGACUCAUUAAUCCUGUGCUGUCCUCCGCCAUACUUCAAAUUCUUAAGAUAUUUUAUAUUUUGUGUCGAAUUGUGAAGCAGUUUGAAGCGUUUGGUGAUAAUGAACGCUCCCAUCAUUGACCCGCUACAGGGGGAUUUCCCAGAAGUAAUAGAGGAGUAUUUGGAGCAUGGAGUUAUGAAAUGUAUUGCCUUUAAUCGUCGGGGAACCCUUCUUGCUGCUGGGUGCUCUGAUGGAAGCUGUGUUAUAUGGGAUUUUGAAACCAGAGGCAUUGCGAAAGAGUUCAGGGACAAGGAUAGUGUUGCUGCCAUCACGAGUGUUUGUUGGUCCAAGAAUGGUCAUCGCAUACUAGUGGCAGCUGCAGAUAAGUCGUUGACUCUUUGGGAUGUGGUCACAGGUGAAAAAAUAGCUCGGACAACCUUACAGCAAACACCUUUGCAAGCCCGUCUGCAUCCUGGUUCCUCCACUCCAUCUAUUUGCUUAGCUUGUCCUCUUUCAUCAGCUCCUAUGAUCGUCGACUUCGAUACAACUACUACAACAGUGCUUCCUGUGUCAUUAUCUGACAUGGCAAAUGGUGUUGCCCCUCCAUCACGUAACAAAUUUUCAGAUGGAUCUGCUCCAUUUACACCUACUGCAGCUUGCUUCAACAAAUAUGGAGAUUUGGUUUAUGUGGGAAAUUCGAAAGGGGAGAUAUUGAUUAUAGAUCAUAAAAGCAUUAAAAUACGUGGUAUUGUUCCUAUUCCAGGGAGUGCUGUGAUAAAGAAUAUCAUAUUUAGCAGGAACGGACAGUAUCUUUUGACAAACUCGAAUGACAGAACUAUCAGAAUAUAUGAAAACCUUUUGCCAUUGAAACAUGGCCUUAAAGCCCUGGAUGAAUUAAACCAUGAAUGUGCCGAGGAAGAUGAAGUUGAAAAGUUAAGAGCUGUUGGAUCAAGGUGUUUAGCUCUCUUUCGCGAGUUUCAGGACUCGAUUACCAAAGUGCACUGGAAAGCACCAUGUUUUAGUGGUGAUGGGGAGUGGGUUGUUGGGGGUUCUGCUAGCAAAGGAGAGCACAAGAUAUACAUAUGGGACAAGGCUGGGCAUCUUGUUAAAAUCCUUGAAGGUCCAAAGGAAGCAUUAAUAGAUUUGGCAUGGCACCCUGUUCAUCCUGUUGUUGUUUCUGUCUCCUUGACUGGCUUGGUUUAUAUCUGGGCGAAGGAUUAUACUGAGAAUUGGAGCGCAUUUGCUCCAGAUUUUAAAGAGCUUGAGGAAAACGAGGAGUAUGUUGAACGAGAAGAUGAAUUUGAUUUAGUGCCCGAAGCGGAGAAAGUGAAAGAUUCGGAUAUAAAUGAAGAUGAAGAAAUCGAUAUUGUGACAGUUGAGAAAGAUUCUGCUUUCAGUGAUUCAGACAUGUCACAGAAUGAAAUACGCUUCUUGCCUGCUGACCCGUCUCCGGAUAUUCCUGAACUGCAGGACGCACAUGUUUUAAGUACUUCAAAGCUGGGGCAUGGUAGCCAGUCUUUAUCUCCUCUUUCAGAGGAGGCAGGGCAGAAUGGCCAUUUAACAAAUCAUGAAUCCAGUCCUCUUGAAGAGGACACUGGAGGAACACGUCUCAAAAGGAGGAGGAAGUCUUCAGAGAAGGUAUUGGAUUUUGAAGAAGAGAAUGUUAGGAAGCCACAAUCAAAGAUGAAAGAAUCAAUUAAUUUACUGAAAACUGUAAGAUAAUCUGUAGUUUAAGGUAGAACUCGUCGUAGAAUUCACAGAAGAUGUGAACUUCAAUUUCAUGAGAGUAAAAUCUCUGAGAUGCAUUACGAACUUGAGGUAUUGCCUUUUACAUCCAUGGAACAAGGAAAGUGCAGCCUGUAAACUAAUGUUAAUUGACAUUGUGUUCUGUGGAAUUUAAUGCAGUUUAACUCCUCAAUUUUGAUCCUAUUAUUCAAUACUCACCUUUCCUCUUUAUUCUGAAGUUCCAAGGAAAAAUUACAUAUCAUUCUUGUCACUUAAAGUGAUUUAAAGUCAGGCCAUGCAUGUACGCAUGCACUUACGGUUGGGGUCUGUUUGCAUUUUCCUUUUUUCAUUCUGAAAAUAAGUAAGAAAUUUCUUCACUUAUCCUCUCAGAUUUAUUUAUUAAUUUUUUGAUAAGGGCUAUUCACCGAAUCAGAAAUCUUCCAUCUUUCGUGUUGUUAAGAAAAUUAAUGAGAGUGGGAAAAAUAUUUACUGGGUUCCACUAUUUUUGGUAGGGAAUUACUUACUGUUUUAUUCUCUCCAUUCUUUUCUUUCUAAUUUGUUUCGGUUUUAAGAUAUCAAAAGCCUAAAAUGGUGAAUUUGAUUACUGCUGGAGGUACCUUUUAGUUUAAAUAUAUGACUUUGUUUUUUUCACUUUCAGACUAAAUUCUGUUGAUUUUAUGCUGUAGUUCACUCUCAUGUUUUGAAAAUAAAAUCAAUAUCAAUUGGCUUUCCGGAGUUGUAUGCACUAUUGAAGAAUGUUUUCAAGUAAAGAAAAUAGCAGUUCAAAAGCUAUUGAUGAAGCACUUAAGGUUGGUUUUGGCUGGUUAUAUGCUGGCUAUACCAACAGUUGUUAUAAUAUGCAUUGCUGAUGUUGGCCUGGUUUUAAAAGCAUAAAAGGUAUUAAGUACAUCCCAGAAUUGCUGGAUGCAAUAUUUAUAUUCUAAGAUUGCCUGUUUAAAUAAUUUCCUGUAAACACUUGGUUGAAGUAUCUAAUCUAAUAACAAGAAUUGCAUUUUACGAAAUGCAUACAGAGCGAGUAAUAUCUAGCUCCGCGGUAUUCAUCCUUCUUCGUUAUCAGUUAUCACGAAAAAUUGCUUGGUAAUAUUGUUUCUGUUUGGUAUCUAAAAAUAUCCUUGCUUCAUAGUAGCAUAACUUAUUGGGGUAAGUUCUUGUAUUUUAUGUAUUUGAAACCCUUAUUUUUCAAUUUGAUGAUUUUCUGAUGCUUCUCUUUUGUCUAAGCGUCAUGCUGUUUAUUCUGAGUUCUAAUCGUGUAUCUAGCUUUAAAUAAGGAUUAUUAAUUUGGUAGCUAUAUUUGCUAAUUCUCUAUAACUCUGUAGUGGUUAGAUGAGAAGGAUUAUUAUUUUCUGAAAACGGUAGCAAUUCAACAGUGGAUGCCAGCUUGAACAACACUUGUGAAAUUUGGGUUCAUUCUGGUGUCAAAUCUUGUUAGGUAUGCUGGGUGGAUGAAAAAGUGAGGAAGUAAAUCUAGAAAUGCUGUCAUUGUUUCCACCAAAAACGGAAAAUAAGAUAUAAGUUAUUGUCCUAUAUCCACCUUUUCUUCUCCAUAGCUUCUCUUCUGAGGAGGGGGGAGGUAAUAUCUUCUUGCAGUGAUGCAACUAAACAUUUUGUCAUGGGGUUCUUGGUUCUGAUCCCUACUCUGGUCUAGCGUAAUGUUACAGAUUUGGCAGAAGAAACCAAAGGUAAUGCAUCAUGAGGGUGCACUACGGCAAAUAUACUGUAUACGGUACUGGAGGUGGCAACUAAAUGACAAUGGACCAGUGGCUGCUCUAAGUGAUCUCAUGAUUGGUGCAUCCACAAACUCUGAUGAGUUGAUGAUGAUGCCGUUGUUGGUUUGGGCAAGGAAGUGAAUAGAGCCUGGACUUGCUCUUGCUGGAAGU